CACUCUAUCUCUCUCUUUCACUUAUUCUAUCUCUCUGCGACGCACCACGCGCCACGCUACUAUGUGUGCGCGCGCGCGCGCUCUCCUAACACGAAUUCAAAAAAUACGCACACGCAAUCAUAUACACGUACGGAAGGGACAUACGGGGGAAACGUACAUAUUAUUACGCGCAAAGUGCUCCGAUGAUUCUAGCCGAUCGGUCAUCUAUGCCGGCCAGGUAUAGCCGGCAAGGAUCACCUGUGAGCACCUGGUGUACACGCAAAAAGAUACAAA